rfam:Asian citrus Psyllid, Diaphorina citri - Florida Strain, whole genome shotgun sequence.
CCCAGCGGUGAUAGCAAGUUGAACGCAGCAGUUCCCAUUGAAUCACUGAUGUUAAGCAAUGUUGGGUGUAGUUAGUACCCGGAUGGGUGACCAUCUGGACAAUCGCGUGCUGCUACCU